AGGAGUCAUAAACAAGAUAACCCAAAAUAU
rnacentral:piRNA from 1 species